AUUGAACGCUGGCGGCAGGCUUAACACAUGCAAGUCGAGCGGGGGAAGGUAGCUUGCUACCGGACCUAGCGGCGGUCGGGUGAUUAAUGCUUAGGAAUCUGCCUAUUAGUGGGGGACAACAUCUCGAAAGGGAUGCUAAUACCGCAUACGUCCUACGGGAGAAAGCAGGGGAUCCUCGGCCCUUGCGCUAAUACAUGCGCCUCAGUCGGAUUAGCCAGUUGGUGGGGUAAAGGCCUACCAAGGCGACGAUCUGUAGCGGGUGUGAGAGGCUGAUCCGCCACACGGGGACUGAGACACGGCCCAGACUCCUACGGGAGGCAGCAGUGGGGAAUAUUGGACAAUGGGGGGAACCCUGAUCCAGCCAUGCCGCGUGUGUGAAGAAGGCCUUAUGGUUGUAAAGCACUUUAAGCGAGGAGGAGGCUACUCUAGUUAAUACCUAGGGAUAGUGGACGUUACUCGCAGAAUAAGCACCGGCUAACUCUGUGCCAGCCGCCGCCGUAA
rnacentral:rRNA from 1 species